UACGGAGGGGGCUAGCGUUGUUCGGAAUUACUGGGCGUAAAGCGCACGUAGGCGGCUUUGUAAGUUAGAGGUGAAAGCCUGGAGCUCAACUCCAGAAUUGCCUUUAAGACUGCAUCGCUUGAAUCCGAGAGAGGUGAGUGGAAUUCCGAGUGUAGAGGUGAAAUUCGUAGAUAUUCGGAAGAACACCAGUGGCGAAGGCGGCUCACUGGCUCGGUAUUGACGCUGAGGCACGAAAGCGUGGGGAGCAAACAGG
rnacentral:rRNA from 1 species